rnacentral:rRNA from 1 species
CACGUAGGGCGCAAGCGUUGUCCGGAAUUAUUGGGCGUAAAGCGCAUGUAGGCGGGAAUCUAAGUCGGGUGUGAAAUCCCUGGGCUCAACCUAGGAACUGCAUCCGAAACUGGGUUUCUCGAGUGGUGGAGAGGAAAGCGGAAUUCCGGGUGUAGAGGUGAAAUUCGUAGAUAUCCGGAGGAACACCAGUGGCGAAGGCGGCUUUCUGGACACCAACUGACGCUGAGAUGCGAAAGCGUGGGGAGCAAACAGG